rnacentral:rRNA from 1 species
AUGGAUGGGGAUGCGUCUGAUUAGCUUGUUGGCGGGGUAACGGCCCACCAAGGCGACGAUCAGUAGGGGUUCUGAGAGGAAGGUCCCCCACAUUGGAACUGAGACACGGUCCAAACUCCUACGGGAGGCAGCAGUGAGGAAUAUUGGUCAAUGGCCGAGAGCCUGAACCAGCCAAGUAGCGUGCAGGAUGACGGCCCUAUGGGUUGUAAACUGCUUUUAUAAGGGAAUAAAGUGAGAGUCGUGACUCUUUUUGCAUGUACCUUAUGAAUAAGGACCGGCUAAUUCCGUGCCAGCAGCCGCGGUAAUACGGAAGGUCCGGGCGUUAUCCGGAUUUAUUGGGUUUAAAGGGAGCGUAGGCCGGAGAUUAAGCGUGUUGUGAAAUGUAGACGCUCAACGUCUGCACUGCAGCGCGAACUGGUUUCCUUGAGUACGCACAAAGUGGGCGGAAUUCGUGGUGUAGCGGUGAAAUGCUUAGAUAUCACGAAGAACUCCGAUUGCGAAGGCAGCUCACUGGAGCGCAACUGACGCUGAAGCUCGAAAGUGCGGGUAUCGAACAGGAUUAGAUACCCUGGUAGUCCGCACGGUAAACGAUGGAUGCCCGCUGUUGGUCUGAAUAGGUCAGCGGCCAAGCGAAAGCAUUAAGCAUCCCACCUGGGGAGUAC